AACCCAGUCUGUAAACCCACAACCAGUCUGUAAACCCACAUCAUAUAAAACCAGAAUAUUUCUGUUUGCCCCAAUUUUGAUUAAACAGCUUUGGUCCAUUUUGGUCUAUUUGUCCUCCAUACUGCUGUCCCCUACCCUAGUGUUAGAGGAGGUCCUAGUCUGUCCCCUACCCUAGUGUUAGAGGAGGUCCUAGUCUGUCCCCUACCCUAGUGUUAGAGGAGGUCUGUCUCCUCCAUACUGCUGUCCCCUACCCUAGUGUUAGAGGAGGUCCUAGUCUGUCCCCUACCCUAGUGUUAGAGGAGGUCCUAGUCUGUCCCCUACCCUAGUGUUAGAG